GGGAUGCCAAUGGAACUCUCGGCGGGAACUUGCUUAGCACAGCUGAGGGCUGCCAGCAGAAGUUGUGCCUAGAAUUAAGUCCAGCUGAGUUCAAACGGAGCCAAAGGGGAGGCUUGGACACUCGCUGCGCCCACGGGGCCUGCUGGGCCCCACCAGCCCAGGAGAGGGGUCCUGGUCUGAUCCGCCUUUCCUCAUUCAUCAGUAGGACAGAAGGAGCUGUGCAAAAACAUCUCUUAGUGGUGUGUGGUCUGGUUUUAAAGUAAGUCAGAAACAGGACUUGUCUCACAUAGGACUGGUCUACGAGGAUACAUACAGCCUUUCUCUUGACCGAGAGAUAAAUUAGGCUGGACAUGAUUUCUACCAAAAGGAGGUAUUUGGAACCAUAAUGGUUCCCACUGACUGCAUGCUUCCUGGGAUCCGUGGAGCCAGCCCAGCGGACGAAGCCUGGGGGACGCUGAGGCUCUCAGGCAGGAGGGCGUUACAGGACGUCCACAGAACAAACGCAGCUGAACAGAAGACCAGGCACCUGAGGGAGGAGGCGCUCUAGCACCCAUCACCCCGCCCAGCUUCCCUGCCCAAGGCCCACGGUAAGGGCUUCAUCCGCAUGUGCACAGGAAGAUGGUGGGAGCUUCUGGCCAGAGAAAUGUGCUGCCCUUAAUAAUAACAGACACUAAUUGGGCAUUUGCUAUAUCCUAGGUGCUGUUCUAAGCACUUGACAUUAACCUAAUUAACAAUCCUCUGAAGCAGGGGUUUUUAUUAUCAUCCCCAUUUUACAGAUGAGAAAACUGAGGCACAGGGAGGCUAAGUAAUUUGUUCAAGGUCACCCUUGUAGGAAGUGCCAGAGCUGUGAUCCGAACCCAAUCACCUCCGACUUUAGAGCCACACUCUUACUGUCCAUGUUCUGCCGUCUGUGUCCUGCACUUUUUAUCUGGGUGUUAAGGACAAAUAUUUGUGUAGUCAAUCAAUAAAUAUGCCUAAGUAGGGGCACAUGUGUGAUCACACUUGAUUUCUUUGUAUAACAGCCCUAGGAGGUAGGUAGAUGUCAAGGACCCAGCACCCUUCUCAAGGUCACCUUACUAGUUAAUAAUAAACUACUGAGGGCUCUGAAUCUGAAGAAAAGUUUGCUCCAUUGACCCCCAAGGCACUGAAUCCCAUGUGUUGGAUUAGGAAGGAGAAGUUGUGCCCAACACUGACGUCAGGGUGUCAGGUGAUUUAGGACCCAGGCCUGACUCAUCAUGACCUGCUUAUAGAGUAGAAUGGAAUAAUCACCUCCAGGUGCUUUUGGGUUGGGAGGAAAAGACAAGCCUGUCUCUCCUCGGGUGAUGGAUGUUGACUGAAGACCACAGGAAAAGUGAGGAGCUGUGGAAAGCCGUUUCAACAGUGGCAUCCCAGAGCUGGCUGGUGGGGGUGCCUUGAAGAAGUGGGACAAUGGCCAGUUUUGACUGAGAGCGCUCUGUCUUCCUGUGGUUGCUCCAGCGUGCUCCCUGGAAGAACCUCACACUCAUCCUCCUGAUGUAAGUGGGUCUGAGGGUCUGGUCACCAUCAACAAGAGAGACCCCUUUAGGAUAAAGUGCUCGCCUGCUGCCUCCCUGGUGGCCAGCCUCAUGUCGUCCAGUGUGCGGAUUGCUUUUGGCUCCGGACACUGUCUCUGUUCCAGGCAGUGCUGAGCAGGACCGCAGAGCUGAUUUUCUUCCACAUGCAGGACACGAUCCAGAGUAAAUCACUGAAAGAGCCUCCUGGGCCCCUUCCCUCAGGAAGGGGCUGAGGGCUUUGCCAGAUUGGUGGCCUGUUGGCAAUUGGCAGCCUGGUGGCCUUUGCCAGAUUGGUGGCAAAAGUGGAGCUAGAAGAGACCCGAGAAACCACCUUUUAGUUUCAUUGAAAGCCAAGUGUGGCGACUCCGGACAUUUGCUUGGGCCCACUGGUCCUCCUUGUGACAAAGAAGGAAGCAGAGCCCGCUCCCGGCUCCAGGCCCAGCCCGCUUUUUCCUGUCCCAGAAGAUGCCCGGGAGGAGUCCACUAUCUGCUCUGCUGGAUGCUUGCUGAGUGCUGCCCAGGAGUUAAAAAAAAAAAAAGCAGGACUUUCUUGGGUACAAACAUUUCCAUAUCUUUUCUCCCCUCCAAAUUCCUGCUGUCUAAUCUAACAUAGACUCAGUGUAGAAGGGAUGGGAAGGCAUGAGGAAACCCCAUGCAACGGAGCCAGGAAUCUGUCUGCAGGAGGGAGAGUUGUGGGAGGGAUGGAGCAGGUGGGCAGGGAUCAGACACCGUGAGUCUUCAGGCCUGCGGCACUGCUACCCGGCGCUGCCCAGGCUUCCUGGCUCUGUCUGCCAUCUCAAAUGCCCCCAAAGAGCUGAUUCAGCCAGAGGGCACAGAGAACCUGCUAGGCAUGGAACACCAAGUAAACAGCCCCUAGGAAUUUCUUCUACUUGAA